AACGAACGCUGGCGGCAGGCUUAACACAUGCAAGUCGAGCGCCCCGCAAGGGGAGCGGCAGACGGGUGAGUAACGCGUGGGAACAUACCCUUUCCUGCGGAAUAGCUCCGGGAAACUGGAAUUAAUACCGCACACGCCCUACGGGGGAAAGAGUUAUUGGGGAGGGAUUGGCCCGCGUGGGGUUGGCUAGUUGGUGGGGUAAAGGCCUACCAAGGCGACUGUCGAUUGCUGGUCUGAGAGGAUGAUCAGUCACAAUGGGCCUGAGACACGGCCCAAACUCCUACGGGAGGCAGCAGUGGGGAAUAUUGGACAAUGGGCGCAAGCCUGAUCCAGCCAUGCCGCGUGAGUGAUGAAGGCCUUAGGGUUGUAAAGCUCUUUCACCGAUGAAGAUAAUGACGGUAGUCGGAGAAGAAGCCCCGGCUAACUUCGUGCCAGCCGCCGCCGUAACAC
rnacentral:rRNA from 1 species